rnacentral:rRNA from 1 species
GACCUACGGGGGGCAGCAGUAGGGAAUCUUCCACAAUGGACGAAAGUCUGAUGGAGCAACGCCGCGUGAGUGAAGAAGGGUUUCGGCUCGUAAAGCUCUGUUGGUAGUGAAGAAAGAUAGAGGUAGUAAAUGGCCUUUAUUUGACGGUAAUUACUUAGAAAGUCACGGCUAACUACGUGCCAGCAGCCGCGGUAAUACGUAGGUGGCAAGCGUUGUCCGGAUUUAUUGGGCGGAAAGCGAGUG